AUAGAACUGCAAGCAAAAGCUGAUUAUUUGAAAGAGAUCUGGAUUUGGGUUGAGGAAAUUUGGAAGCCUGUCUUGACACGUCUCUGCCUAAAAUUCAGGAGAGAUGAAGAAGCCUCUAGGACCCUCCCGUUGUCCUGGAUGCACGCAUCAUCUGAUCUGGUUUCUCAUACAACUGAUAAAACUCAUCCAACUCCCACGGAAAGAGCUCAAAUAAAGGUGGCACUGUGAACCAGCACUGAGGAAGUGCAGCAGGCCUUACUAUUCAGUACCCACUGCAAACGGGAGGUGAGGUUUAAUGCAUGAGUGGAAUGAAAACUAUGACAGGUUGCUAAACUAGUUACAAAAGGUUUCCAAGUUACUGAAAAACUGGACAAAAGUAGAAAAUUACAAUGGAGAAAAAAAUGUAAGGGAAGCAUUAACGUCAUUGACUUUCUGCGGAAGUUAAAUGCAAAACGAUAAAGUACACCGAUCCAUUGCUACACUGAUCUGAUCUAUUGAUUGAAUACUUUUCUUUGUAAUUGCAGAGAACAGAAAACAACUAGAAGCACAGACCAUGGAAUCUCUAGGGCAGAAUAAGACUCUCCAGUUUCUGAGAUUGCAAUGCAUUCAGUAGCAGGAAUUCCAAUCUUGAUUCUAAACGAAAUUUUGAGAACUUAGAAAAAAGAAAAUGUAGUAAUUGCUGGCAGCCCACUCUGAACAGCCAUUUAGGCUGCUGCUGUUUUGAAGAAAUGCCUAAAUGCCAGAAAGGGAUCACCACCAUCCCUAGACAACCCAUUUUCCAUGUAAAGGC
rnacentral:lncRNA from 1 species